GACGAACGCUGGCGGCGUGCUUAACACAUGCAAGUCGAAAGAAGUGGCGAACGGGUGAGUAACGCGUAAUCAAACUGCCCUUCAGAGGGGGACAACAGUUGGAAACGAGUGAUACUACCGCAUACUGAAGGAGGGGAUUGCGUCUGAGUAGCUAGUGGGAGGGGUAACGGCCCACCAGGGCGAUGAUCAGUAGCCGGUCGGAGAGGAUGAACGGCCACAUCGGGACUGAGACACUGCCCAGACGUCUACGGGAGGCAGCAGUGGGGAAGCUUCCGCAAUGGACGAAAGUCUGACGGAGCAACGCCGCGUGAGUGAUGACGGCCUUCGGGUUGUAAAGCUCUGUUAAUCGGGACGCGGUACCGGAAUAGAAAGCCACGGCUAACUACGUGCCAGCAGCCGCGGUAAUAC
rnacentral:rRNA from 1 species